GGUCCCUGAAUCUUCUGGAAGGAAGCUCCGAAUCGGCUCACUUCUGCUGCAUUAUUCCAGCCUCCACACUCCACCCACUCCGAGGAAGCCUUCCCCACCCGCCAGCCAGCCAUCACAAGGGCCUGCAGACAAUCUGUGAGGGGUACCGGCCGGGGCCAAGAGGGGGCCUCAGCUGUCAGCACCUGCACCGAUGGCCUCUCCUGAGCCGCGGACCCUGGAUCCUGCCACUGGCACAUCCUCCACCUCAGCGUCCUUCACACGCCUCGGCUAGCAAGUGCAAAACAGAACCCUCUGUGCCGGUGCCUCCUGCAACUCUGUUUCCCAGCCCGUGCCUGUGUCAUCCUCUGCCCAGCCACCCAAGCCUGGGCCUGGGGGCCUCCCAGCCGCGCCAUCACAGGCCCCAUUGGUUUUGCCCUCCCCACCCCAAAUCUCUUGUUAUCUGCAGCCUCUAAAGUGUCUCCUAGCUGCUCUUCUAACACAAUCUCUGCACUGCAGCAGGAGCCACCUUUAUAAAACACAAAUCUGACCAUCAGACUUUCCUUUUAAAAACCCUGUACCAGGCGUAGUGGUACACGCCUGUAAUCCCAGCACUUGGGAGGCUGAGGCAAGAGGAUUGCCAUGAGUUCGAGGCCACCCUGGGCUACACAGUGAGUUCAAGCCUGAAUUACACUGCAAGACCCUGUCUCAAAAGAAAAAAAAAUUCCUGGAGUAUCAUUAAACAGAGGAGGAUCUCCAUUUAAAUAAAUAAACAAGGCUGUCAUCAUUUUCCUUCCUCCUCCAGGGUAUACUUUUAUCUUGCUUUUUCCUCUUUUACUCUGCAGAGCCAGUUUCUCCCUCACUCUUCCUUUUUACUUUUUCUUUUUCUUUCUUUCUUUUUUUUUUUUUUUUUGAGAGAGGGUCUUGCUAUGUAGUUCCGGCUGGCUGACCUUGAAUUCAUAGUGACCCUCCUGCCUCAGCCUCUUGAGUCCUGGAAUUACAGCCAUGUGCCACCAUGCCCGGCUUUCUUUUUUCUUUCUUUCUUUUUUUUUUUUUUUUUCUGGUCUUUUUGAGACAGGAUCUCACUAUGUAGUUCAGGCUGGCCUUGAGCUUACUUUCUGGCCUAGGCUUGCUUCACACUUGCAAUGAUCCUCCUGUCUCAGCCUCCCAAGUGCUGGGAAUACA
rnacentral:lncRNA from 1 species